AACGAACGCUGGCGGCAUGCCUAACACAUGCAAGUCGAACGAGACCUUCGGGUCUAGUGGCGCACGGGUGCGUAACGCGUGGGAACCUGCCCUUAGGUUCGGAAUAACUCCCCGAAAGGGGUGCUAAUACCGGAUAAUGUCUUCGGACCAAAGAUUUAUCGCCUUUGGAUGGGCCCGCGUUGGAUUAGCUAGUUGGUAGGGUAAAAGCCUACCAAGGCGACGCUCCAUAGCUGGUCUGAGAGGAUGAUCAGCCACACUGGGACUGAGACACGGCCCAGACUCCUGCGGGAGGGAGCAGUGGUGAACAUUGGACAAUGGGCGAGAGCAUAAGCCAGCAAUGCCGCGUGGGUGAUGAAGGGGUUAAGAUAGUAAAGCUCUUUUACCCGGGAUGAUAAUGACAGUACCGAGGGAAUAAGCUCCGGCUAACUCCGU
rnacentral:rRNA from 1 species